GACGCAGCCCCACCGGUUGCGCAGUCCCUCCCCGCCCCCGCUCUCCCCUCCGCAGCCUGCAGCCCGAGACUUCUGUAAAGGACUGGGGCCCCGCAACUGGCCUCUCCUGCCCUCUUAAGCGCAGCGCCAUUUUAGCAACGCAGAAGCCCGGCGCCGGGAAGCCUCAGCUCGCCUGAAGGUGGUAAACUAUACCUACUGUCCCUCAAGAGAACACAAGAAGUGCUUUAAGAGGUAUUUUAAAAGUUCCGGGGGUUUUGUGAGGUGUUUGAUGACCCGUUUAAAAUAUGAUUUCCAUGUUUCUUUUGUCUAAAGUUUGCAGCUCAAAUCUUUCCACACGCUAGUAAUUUAAGUAUUUCUGCAUGUGUAGUUUGCAUUCAAGUUCCAUAAGCUGUUAAGAAAAAUCUAGAAAAGUAAAACUAGAACCUAUUUUUAACCGAAGAACUACUUUUUGCCUCCCUCACAAAGGCGGCGGAAGGUGAUCGAAUUCCGGUGAUGCGAGUUGUUCUCCGUCUAUAAAUACGCCUCGCCCGAGCUGUGCGGUAGGCAUUGAGGCAGCCAGCGCAGGGGCUUCUGCUGAGGGGGCAGGCGGAGCUUGAGGAAACCGCAGAUAAGUUUUUUUCUCUUUGAAAGAUAGAGAUUAAUACAACUACUUAAAAAAUAUAGUCAAUAGGUUACUAAGAUAUUGCUUAGCGUUAAGUUUUUAACGUAAUUUUAAUAGCUUAAGAUUUUAAGAGAAAAUAUGAAGACUUAGAAGAGUAGCAUGAGGAAGGAAAAGAUAAAAGGUUUCUAAAACAUGACGGAGGUUGAGAUGAAGCUUCUUCAUGGAGUAAAAAAUGUAUUUAAAAGAAAAUUGAGAGAAAGGACUACAGAGCCCCGAAUUAAUACCAAUAGAAGGGCAAUGCUUUUAGAUUAAAAUGAAGGUGACUUAAACAGCUUAAAGUUUAGUUUAAAAGUUGUAGGUGAUUAAAAUAAUUUGAAGGCGAUCUUUUAAAAAGAGAUUAAACCGAAGGUGAUUAAAAGACCUUGAAAUCCAUGACGCAGGGAGAAUUGCGUCAUUUAAAGCCUAGUUAACGCAUUUACUAAACGCAGACGAAAAUGGAAAGAUUAAUUGGGAGUGGUAGGAUGAAACAAUUUGGAGAAGAUAGAAGUUUGAAGUGGAAAACUGGAAGACAGAAGUACGGGAAGGCGAAGAAAAGAAUAGAGAAGAUAGGGAAAUUAGAAGAUAAAAACAUACUUUUAGAAGAAAAAAGAUAAAUUUAAACCUGAAAAGUAGGAAGCAGAAGAAAAAAGACAAGCUAGGAAACAAAAAGCUAAGGGCAAAAUGUACAAACUUAGAAGAAAAUU
rnacentral:lncRNA from 1 species